rnacentral:rRNA from 1 species
AUUGAACGCUGGCGGCAUGCCUUACACAUGCAAGUCGAACGGCAGCACGGGUGCUUGCACCUGGUGGUGAGUGGCGAACGGGUGAGUAAUAUAUCGGAACGUACCUUAUUGUGGGGGAUAACGCAGCGAAAGCUGUGCUAAUACCGCAUAAUCCCUAAGGGGGAAAGCGGGGGACCGUAAGGCCUCGCGCAAUUAGAGCGGCCGAUACCUGAUUAGCUAGUUGGUGAGGUAAAGGCUAACCAAGGCAACGAUCAGUAGCUGGUCUGAGAGGACGAUCAGCCACACUGGGACUGAGACACGGCCCAGACUCCUACGGGAGGCAGCAGUGGGGAAUUUUGGACAAUGGGGGCAAUCCUGAUCCAGCAAUGCCGCGUGAGUGAAGAAGGCCUUCGGGUUGUAAAGCUCUUUUGUCAGGGAAGAAACAGCAGCUCUAACACAGUUUGCGAAUGACGGUACCUGAAGAAUAAGCACCGGCUAACUACGUGCCAGCAGCCGCCGUAA